CCUACGGGUGGCUGCAGUGAGGAAUAUUGGACAAUGGAGGCAACUCUGAUCCAGCCAUGCCGCGUGCAGGAAGACUGCCCUAUGGGUUGUAAACUGCUUUUAUAGAGGAAGAACUAGUGCUACGUGUAGCACCUUGACGGUACUCUACGAAUAAGGAUCGGCUAACUCCGUGCCAGCAGCCGCGGUAAUACGGAGGAUCCAAGCGUUAUCCGGAAUCAUUGGGUUUAAAGGGUCCGUAGGCGGGCAGCUCAGUCAGUGGUGAAAGUCUGCAGCUCAACUGUAGAAUUGCCAUUGAUACUGGUUGUCUUGAAUUAUUAUGAAGUGGUUAGAAUAUGUAGUGUAGCGGUGAAAUGCAUAGAUAUUACAUAGAAUACCGAUUGCGAAGGCAGAUCACUAAUAAUAUAUUGACGCUGAGGGACGAAAGCGUGGGGAGCGAACAG
rnacentral:rRNA from 1 species